AUGGUAAGCACGAGUACCAGCGCCAUCAGGAGCUCAGUGGUUGAAUCAGACGCGGCUCUUUGUGUUGGGUUGAAUCUGGCAGUCGGUGACACUCCAAGGAAUCGCCACACCUUCCCUAGAGGACAGGGCUCGGUCGCCUCUCUCCAGGGAAGGAACAGGGCUUGCCUAGGCUCGCACAGCAAUGAAAUGGCACAAAGUCUGGUCCACAUUGCAGCUUAUCCACGCCACAGAAAGAGGAAGUCUUCUCACUGAUACGGUGACCGACCGUAGUCUAUUUUGUGGAAAAUAUAUUGCAGUCAUAAGUGGGCAUGGAAAUAUAGUAGUCAACAUUUGAAGUGGAUGUUCAACAUUUGAACCUUUCAUCAAAGUUGUCCUAAAAUCAAAACAAUACCGAUCUUUGAUUAACUUUUUUGAUCCACUUCAAAUGUUGACUACUGUACUUUAAUUAAUGGCAUGGCAUUCCCCACACAUUGUACAGAUCACAUAGAAUAUCUGUAGAUUUUGUAAUCAAUAUUUGUUCGUUGAAAACCAACAGGUACUGAUGAUUUCACAAACAUAACUUAGGCCCUCACAGGUUGCUAUACUAAAGCUUAUGAUAUGAAGUUGCAUAGAGUAGUGAAAGAACUAUUAAAUUAGUCAGCAAAACCCCAAUUAAUUCGUUUAAAGUAAAGAGUAUCAUCUCUGUGCCACUGGCAUCAUUAAAUAGAUUUAAAUAGAAAUUGAUAGAAAUUAACUAUAAAUCACAACCCUUAGUUCUCCCAAACACUCCCCCUGUUGGACAAACUGAUACUUGCUUUUACCAAUUACUAUAAUAAUUUAAUUUAACAGACUACAAUUUUAAUUUAAACUUAAUACAGUUACCCAUAUACCUGGGCACAGCGGUGAUGUACCCAAAACUAUGUAGGCUAUAUACAAUUAUAAAAAUAUAAAAAUACUGAUUUACUGUGCUAUUUAUGAUCAUAGGUCAUUAUUUUAGGGACAAUUUUUCCUCAGUAGGGUACUGCAUGUGGAACCAUAUUCCAGUGUUUACAGAACAACAUUCUUCAUCUUAAAAGUAUUGCAAAGUUACGAGGACUUGGAUUACUAUAAUGCAUUACUGGCUAGAUGUCCUGCGGUCUCCAUAAAUAAUUUGUUGGUUCAAAAAGCAGCUUUUUAAAGUCCUUAACAGAUCAUUUGAUCAUAUUAUCCACAUUUUUAUCAUUGCUAUCAUCUAUCUGAUGUAUUCUGAUGAAGGAUAAUAAUAAAUAUGACAAAAUACUGCUACUUAUGAAGCACUUAGUAAGUCUAGUUUCUCACUGUUUGAUCUUUCUUAUCUGGAAUAAUCUGGAAAUGUUUGGGACUCACACUUACUUUCCAGACUCGACUAUUUUUUUUUCCUAGUCUGGUAGUUAGAUUCCAUUAGUUAGAUCUGAGGAAUCACAUAUAUCUCAUGCAACAUUCUCACUUCUCUUUUCUUCUUAUGCCUUUGAAUAUCUAUACCAGUAUUCAUAAUACUCUGUAUCAGCACUACAGCCUGUUUAAAAUUAAGCAUUGUCAUCAUCUAAACAUCAUUUUUGAGGGUUUCUUUUCUGCGUUUCUAGAUAUGUGGAAAAAGGGAUGAGUUACUUCGAGAAUAUAUUGUGAGGAAAUUUACAAAUUAAACUGACAUCUCAAACACAUAUAGUGACAAUAUAUACUAUCAUCCUCAUAGAGCAUCCAUACCCCAUAUCUCUGAUUAUGACAUUAAGGGAAAGACUCCUUCUGCUUAAUAUGGAGUUAUGGUGCAUUAUACAGUGCCAGUUCAUCCCUUCCUGCUGAGUGUUAUUAAAUGACUGUAACAAUAAAUGAAGACGAAUAUGAGUCGACAGUCUUGCCAGUCCAAUGCAGCAGUUCUCUGAGAACAAAAUGAGACACAUGCCUGCAGAAAGGAAAGAAUGGCCUUCAUUUAUUCUGAUAAAACACUGUACUCAACCCUUGAAAUAAUACCCUGUAGUUGCCAAGAAAGGUCAGUCGCUAAAGUCAACAAAGGGGAAUUCUGAUUCCAAUUUGAAUGAGUUUGGUUAAUGAUGAUUGGAAGGCGUUUUCAUUUUUCAAAGUGAUUGGUACAUUAAUACUCCCUACUUCCAGCCUUUGUUACCUGCACUAUGAAAACAAAAUCAGGAGACAUACCACAACUUAAUGCAUGGUUGUGAGUUAAAAAUCCAAAUUGAUUUAUUUAAUUAAACCUCUUAAGUUGCAAACCUCAUUUUUACAUAUACAAAUGCAAUAUACAGUUUGUACAUAAAAUUUCCAUAUAUCAAAUAUUUUGUCAUAUGUACAGUACAGGUCAAAAGUUUGGAAACAUUACUAUUUUUAAUAGUUUUUGAUAGAAAUCUCUUCUGCUCAUCAAGCCUGCAUUUAUUUGAUCAAAAAUACAGAAAAACAGUAAUAUUGUGAAAUAUUAUUACAACUUAAAAUAAUAGUUUCUAUUUGAAUAUACUUUAAAAAAUAAUUUAUUCCUGUGAUGCAAAGCUGAAUUUUCAGCAUCAUUACUCCAGCCUUCAGUGUCACAUUGUAA
rnacentral:lncRNA from 1 species